rnacentral:misc_RNA from 1 species
AAAGUCGUAACAAGGUUUCCGUAGGUGAACCUGCGGAAGGAUCAUUACCGAUCUUUGAUCAUUCGAUCAACCUCAGUUGGAUGGGGCGAGCAGUUCGCUGCGAGCUCCUGAAAACUAGUCACUGGUGGCGAGCAUCUAACGAUGCAACCUACUUUUGACGGCAGUCUUUGGACUGUUUUUGUGCAUACUACCAUAUAUGCCCUGUGUUUGAAAAGGAAUUUAAAGCAGUACAACUGCAAACGGUGGAUCACUCGGCUC